rnacentral:rRNA from 1 species
AACAGGAUUAGAUACCCUGGUAGUCCACGCUGUAAACGAUGUCGACUUGGAGGUUGUGCCCUUGAGGCGUGGCUCCCGGAGCUAACGCGUUAAGUCGACCGCCUGGGGAGUACGGCCGCAAGGUUAAAACUCAAAUGAAUUGACGGGGGCCCGCACAAGCGGUGGAGCAUGUGGUUUAAUUCGAUGCAACGCGAAGAACCUUACCUACUCUUGACAUCCAGAGAAUUUGCUAGAGAUAGCUUAGUGCCUUCGGGAACUCUGAGACAGGUGCUGCAUGGCUGUCGUCAGCUCGUGUUGUGAAAUGUUGGGUUAAGUCCCGCAACGAGCGCAACCCUUAUCCUUUGUUGCCAGCACGUGAUGGUGGGAACUCAAAGGAGACUGCCGGUGAUAAACCGGAGGAAGGUGGGGAUGACGUCAAGUCAUCAUGGCCCUUACGAGUAGGGCUACACACGUGCUACAAUGGCAUAUACAAAGAGAAGCGAACUCGCGAGAGCAAGCGGACCUCAUAAAGUAUGUCGUAGUCCGGAUUGGAGUCUGCAACUCGACUCCAUGAAGUCGGAAUCGCUAGUAAUCGUAGAUCAGAAUGCUACGGUGAAUACGUUCCCGGGCCUUGUACACACCGCCCGUCACACCAUGGGAGUGGGUUGCAAAAGAAGUAGGUAGCUUAACCUUCGGGAGGGCGCUUACCACUUUGUGAUUCAUGACUGGGGUGAAGUCGUAACAAGGUAACC